UACGGGGGGGGCAAGCGUUGUUCGGAAUUACUGGGCGUAAAGGGCGCGUAGGCGGUCCGCUAAGUUGGAUGUGAAAACUCUGGGCUUAACCCAGAGCCUGCAUUCAAAACUGACGGGCUGGAGUUCUGGAGGGGAUAGCGGAAUUCCUGGUGUAGCGGUGAAAUGCGUAGAUAUCAGGAGGAACACCGGUGGCGAAGGCGGCUCACUGGCUCGGUACUGACGCUGAGGUGCGAAAGCGUGGGGAGCAAACAGG
rnacentral:rRNA from 1 species